GAUGAACGUUGGCGGCAUGCUUAACACAUGCAAGUCGCACGCUCCGCUUCGGCGGGGAGUGGCGCACGGGUGCGUAACACGUAGGUGAUCUGCCUGACAGAGGGGGAUAACCAUCGGAAACGGUGGCUAAUACCGCAUACGCUGGGAGGUGUUUGAGUCCUCCCAGGAAAGUUCCGGCGCUGUCAGAGGAGCCUGCGGCCUAUCAGGUAGUUGGUGAGGUAACGGCUCACCAAGCCGAGGACGGGUAGCUGACCUGAGAGGGUGGUCAGCCACAGGGGAACUGAGAGACGGUCCCCACUCCUACGGGAGGCAGCAGUGAGGAAUAUUGGGCAAUGGGCGCAAGCCUGACCCAGCAAUGCCGCGUGCAGGAGGACGCCUCGGGUGUAAACUGCUUUUGUGCAGGAGGAGCAAGGACCGUACUGCACGAAUCAGUCACGGCUAACUACGUGCCAGCAGCCGCGGUAACACGUAGGUGACAAACGUUAUCCGGAAUUACUGGGCGUAAAGGGUCCGUAGGCGGGAUGGCGAGUCUGGUGUGAAAGCCCUCGGCUCAACUGGGGGAAGCCAUUGGAGACUGCCGUUCUUGAAUCCUAGCGAGGUCGGUGGAAUUCCCGGUGUAGUGGUGGAAUGCGUAGAGAUCGGGAGGAACCUCGAAAGCGAAGGCAACCGGCUAGCUGCGGAUUGACGCUGAGGGACGAGAGCGUGGGGAGCGAACA
rnacentral:rRNA from 1 species